GAUGAAUGCUGGCGGCGCGCCUAACACAUGCAAGUCGAGCGGUAACAUGGACUUCGGUCUGAUGACGAGCGGCGGACGGCUGAGUAACGCGUGGGAACAUGCCCCAAAGUGAGGAAUAACUGCCCGAAAGGGUAGCUAAUGCCGCAUAUGAUCUUCGGAUUAAAGGAUUUUUCCGCUUUGGGAGUGGCCCGCGUUCGAUUAGGUAGUUGGUGAGGUAAAGGCUCACCAAGCCUACGAUCGAUAACUGGUCUAAGAGGAUGAUCAGUCAGACUGGAACUGAGACACGGUCCAGACUCCUACGGGAGGCAGCAGUGAGGAAUCUUCCACAAUGGGCGAAAGCCUGAUGGAGCGACGCCGCGUGCAGGAUGAAGGCCUUCGGGUUGUAAACUGCUUUUAUAAGUGAAGAAUAUGACGGUAACUUAUGAAUAAGCACCGGCUAACUACGUGCCAGCAGCCGCCGUA
rnacentral:rRNA from 1 species